UACGUAGGGGGCAAGCGUUGUCCGGAUUUAUUGGGCGUAAAGAGCGUGUAGGCGGCUUGACAGGUCUGCUGUGAAAACUCGAGGCUCAACCUCGAGAUGUCGGCGGAAACCGUCUGGCUAGAGUCCGGAAGAGGAGAGUGGAAUUCCAGGUGUAGCGGUGGAAUGCGUAGAGAUCCGGAAGAACACCUGAGGCGAAGGCGGCUUGCUGGGCCUGGUCUGACGCUGAGGAGCGAAAGCGUGGGGAGCGAACAGG
rnacentral:rRNA from 1 species